UAACCAUUGAUUAUUACACCCCCCCCCCGCCCGACUACUACGAGCCAACAGCUUAAAACUCAAGAGACUUGGCGGUGCUCUAUACCCACCUAGAGGAGCCUGUUCUAUAAUCGAUAACCCCCGAUACACCCCACCGCUUCUUGCCUAACCGCCUAUAUACCGCCGUCGCCAACCUACCCUUUGAGGGAUCCACAGUAGGUCCAAUGGCUUAUCGCCAAUACGUCAGGUCAAGGUGUAGCUAAUGAAACGGAGAGAAAUGGGCUACAUUUUCUAAUCCAGACUACACGAAAAAUUAUAUGAAAUCCGAUUAGAAGGAGGAUUUAGCAGUAAAAAGAAACCAACAAGUUCUUUUUAAGCCGGCCCUAGAGCGCGUACAUACCGCCCGUCACCCUCUUCAACUCUUAAACAAUCCACUCUAUAAAAUAUCUAUAAAAACUAGAAGAGGUAAGUCGUAACAUGGUAAGCCCACCGGAAGGUGUGCUUGGAAUUGAUGCUCCAUUAACUUCCAUAAAAGAAGCCUAUGCCUAUUAACUUAGGGCAUUUUUUUAUCCGCCCUCUAGCCUGAACACACAUUACCUAUUAUCCCCAUGAAACAAAACAUUUUCAAUCUAUAGUAUCUGAGACAGAAAAGGAAUUCAGAGCAAUAUCAAUAGUACCGCAAGGGAAAGAUGAAAUAGUAAUGAAAUAACCAAAAACACAUCAAAGCAAAGAUUAAACCUUGUACCUUUUGCAUCAUGAUUUAACUAGAUAAUUUGAGCAAAGUGACCUCUAGUUUACAACCCCGAACCUAGGUGAGCUACUCCAAGGCAACUAAUGAGUUAACCCGUCUCUGUGGCAAAAGAGUGGGGUGACCUUAGAGUAGAGGUGAUAUACCUAUCAAACCUAGUGAUAGCUGGUUAUUCAGGAAAAGAAUAUUAGUUCUCUCUUAAGAAUCUUUUAACACCAAUAAGCAAACAAAUUCUUAGGAUUUAUUCAGUAAGGGUACAGCCUUACUGAAAGAGGAUACAACCUUAACUUUAGGUUAAUGACCUACUUUAUCAAACAGACUAAGUCGGCUUAAAAGCAGCCACCUUAAAAAAGCGUCAAAGCUUCAUCUACAGACCACCCAUCACCAAUCCCCCAGCCUUAUCAUAACCCAAUAAUACUACUGAACUGCCCUAUACCUCUAUAGGAGUAUUUAUGUUAAAACUAGUAACACAGAAAGACUUUCUCUUACUUGUAAGUGUAAAUCAGAUCGAAUACCUCAGUGAUACCUAUUCAGCUAGAAUUUUACGUAAGUAACCCCCCCCCCCGAAAAUCCUACGAACCCCACUGUUAAUCUCACACAAGAACAAGAAAGAAAGAUUUAAAGACCCGGAAGGAACUCGGCAAAUACUAGUCCCGCCUGUUUACCAAAAACAUCGCCUUUUGUCUCCUAUAAAAGGUUACGCCUGCCCAGUGACAAUUGUUCAACGGCCGCGGUAUUUUAACCGUGCAAAGGUAGCGUAAUCACUUGUCUUCUAAAUAAAGACCAGUAUGAACGGCGCCACGAGAACUAAGCUGUCUCCCGCCUCUAAUCAGUGAAACUGAUCCCCCCGUGCAGAAGCGGGGAUAAAGCCAUAAGACGAGAAGACCCUGUGGAACUUAAAAUUUACAAUCAUCUGCCUUUAACUCACCCCUCAAUGGCACAAACCUGAUUUGUAUUUUCAGCUGGGGCAUCUAUGGAGAAAAAACUAUCCUCCAUGAAGAAUUUAACCCAAGAGCUACCCCUCUAAGCAUUAAUACCCUUAACCUUACCUGACCCAAUUAUAUUGAUCAACGGACCAAGUUACCCCAGGGAUAACAGCGCAAUCCACUUCUAGAGUUCCUAUCGACAAGUGGGCUUACGACCUCGAUGUUGGAUCAGGGCAUCCUAGUGGUGCAGCCACUACUAAAGGUUCGUUUGUUCAACGAUUAAAGCCCUACGUGAUCUGAGUCC
rnacentral:misc_RNA from 1 species